rnacentral:sRNA from 1 species
CUGAGUUCUUCAUCCAGUUUCUCUUUCUCUCUCUAAGUUCAGCUUCAUUUUCUUCUUCUUGCUUUGACUUCUCUCUACUUUUCCACCACUUCCCACCGUUGAAAUUUCAAAUAGGUAGUGUGCUUUCGUUCACGGAGUUGAGAGUUUUCCCUUCAUCCGAUUAGAUUUUCGUUUUGGACAGAUCCUAUUGAACUUGCUUCUGUGCAAGAGUACUGUUUUGGGGUUUCGUCUAAAGGUUGUUGUGCUUAUAACCACUAAG